ACCACUAAGCCAUGAGGCCAGCACCAAAAGUGAUUUUCUUUUGUAAAAAUAAAAAUAAUUUAUUCAAUGGGCUUCUAUAGAAUAACUAGAUGUUAGCCAUUUGUUGCUCCUAGUUUAAAAGCACUAAUUUCUCUACAGAAACACUCAUAAGAAAGAGAUGUUUUAAUGUUAGCAUUUUCUCAAAUUAGUACUGAAAAAACAUAGACUCCCUAGACCAAUAACUACACUUACAUAUGACAUAAUUUUCUGAGUAACACAGAAAGAUUAAGAGCUGAACAUUUAGUUGAGAAAAAUAAUUGCAAGAACGUAACUUGUUUUUCCAUUACUACUUAGAAAUUAAUUUAAAAAAAAUAAGUUAUAGAUUUGGGGGAUGAUUUUUUUUCCAAAAUAUCAAAGAUAAAAUAAAACCCUUUGGGAAAAUAUACAACUAAUUACUGUGAUGAAAACCAUAGCAGUAUUUCAUAAUAACUGUAAUUCUAAGCUGGAGAAUGGUUUUAACACAUGAUAAAACAAUGCUUUAACACUCUGCGACAGCAGAUUUGGGGAUUAAAGUUGAUCUGUUUUAGCUCCUACCCAAGGGGGCUCACUUGGGGAAAUUCUGUAAGUAGGCUGAUGCAUGGGCCUCAUGGAUGGCCAUAUAGCAGGUCCCUUGAGCAGUAACAUUUGGGGAGACUUCUGGGGUGCCUUGCAAACAAAACAAGAGCAAAAAGUUGCACGCCCUCAAUGAUCCACAAAACACGAGUUCUCGUGUUCUUAAAUCUACUAUUAAAACAUCAUCCCUUUUUCUUUCUCUCCAGUGCUUUCUUCAUCAGUCAUGUGAAUUAAUCACUACAGCCAGAAUUACAAAGAGUGUAUUAAUUUCCUGUCUGGAAAGGGAUAGUUGAUAACUCAUAUGGAAAUCUACUAAAAUUAUCUGUAGGAAAAACAUAAAAAUAACUCACAUUAUAAUGUUAGAAAUUUUUCUGCUCUUGGAUCCUAAUUCUAUACGGUUUUAGUUACAUAGUUGGCAUAAUUUGAACUGAAUCCACUACAGGUAUUUGGAAAAUACUUAAAGGAGGAAACUAUUCAAUCUGAGAAGUUGACACUCUGCUCUCCUGGUGAGAAUCCAGAAUGCUUAGAGCUGGAAGAGAUUUUUAAGCUCACUGAUUAAUCUGUCUGCCUUGAUUCUCAUUCCCUCUCACUUCCCAUUUUAAAGUGGAGGUUUAUUAACUUGAGACAGUCACAAAGCUGGGGACAAACUCGGCAAGUCUGGUCUCCCAUUCCAGUCACCUUUCCAGGACCUUACACGAUCCACAAAGGUUCUGUUCAAACCAUCAAUAAAAAUUCAUCUAAAGAAUGAGAAGGACACUUAAAGUCUAUAAAACCCCUGUCCUGUUCUUCUAAUUCCCAUUUACCAGAAUAAGGGAGUGACUAUCACAGUUGGUGAUUAUAUUUAAGGCAUUGAUGAUUCUCAAGGUAAAAUAGUAAACUGAAAAUCACUCUAAAAAAGGUAAGGAAAUAGGCGUUAUUUCCUUUAAAUUUCUCAAGAACUCUAUGAAGUGAAUGCUCUUAUUUCCAUUUAACAGAGAAAGCAAAUAAAGUACCUAAGGUCAUACUCUCAGAAAGAGAUAGUUCUGGCGGUGAAGUCUGAAUCUGUCCUACGUGGGGCCCUUGCCCACCAUAAACAGAAAUAAAUUUUAAAGAGUUCAGAACAGUGGCUCCCAACUCAGUCAUGGUGCCAGCCCUUAGGGGGCAUUGUGACCAUGGCAUCACAAUGAUGGGGGUGCUCCUGGAAUUUAGUGUCUGGGGCCCAGAGACGUUAAACAGCCUGCAAUGCUCUGAACAGUCUCUCAGAACAAAAAAAACUGUCUUAUUAGUUAGAAAGCUUUUGGUCCACCAAGAUGCCAAUAGCAUGCCCUUUGGGAAGCAUCGGUUUAGAUGAAUAAAAGAUUAACAUACUAUAACAGUAUUAAAUGAAACGGGAGAUUAGGGGCACCUCCAAGUGAUAUCCUCAUAUGGUUUUACAUUCAAAUUUGACCGAGAGUUGGAAGAGACCCGUUUUAUAAUUCUCCGCGCAUUCAUAAUCACGCGUAUGAAAAAUGUUCCUUUAAGGAAAACCUACUUACAUCUGAAAGGAAAAACAUCGUAACUGAAACCUAUGCUGUGAAUGUGUAAAUUGACUUGCUUUGCAGCUUAGAUAUGGGACAGACUGGUCUAUUGGCAUUUCUCAAUCUGAGGUCUGAGAAGUCCUGAGAAUCCAAAACAAGUAUGUUUUGAAGAUCUGUACUUUUUCUGUGAAAAUGUUUUUAAUUUUGUGUUUUCACACUGAUGACAAGUACAACCCAAAAAAGGCAAAAGAAGUAUACUUUAAAUUAGUGGGAUGACCACCUUAGAACCAAGUACUGUCCUACAAUUUUAGCAGUCAGGUUUAUAUUUGUGUUUACAAUCACAGUGCAGCCGAGUGGUUGUAGGAUAAAGAGAAAAUAAAAGAUGUAAAUAUAAUAUGCAAAUAUGCUUUCAAACCAAGUAAAACCCAAACGCGGGUAUGCUGUGCCAUAGGAAUAAAGUUUCAUGCCUGUUCACACAGAGACCCAGCGGGAGCAGUGAAGGAUGCCUCCUAAGGCAGCCACAGCAAAGGCGAACUGACCUCGCCAAACCCUCCAUCGGGCAGUCAGGGCCACGUUCACUUUGCAAGGGGCAACAUAGCAAACGUGGGAAGUUCGAGGUGCAGAUCCUGCGGCCCCGGCGGACCCUGGACUCCAGGAGGCGCCGGGGGGCCACGACGCGCCCAGGUGAGGCCGAGACUCGAAGCCGGGUCCCCUACCGCCCCCGCCGCCGCGCCGCCGCCCCGCACUGCGCCGCCCCCUGGCGGGGAGCGCCCGGCAGAGCCGAGGCCGCGCGCCGGCGGGUGGGAGCCCAGCGCCCAGCCCCGGCCGGCUCCUCCACCAUCACCGCCCCGUGCGCGCCUCGCGGGCGGCCCGGCCGGCCAGCGCGGGCUGCCCGAUGGCCGCUGUCCAGAGCCGGCGGGGCGCGGUUCGGGACCCUUCUGCAAAGGCGUGCGUCCUCCAGUGGGCCCGAGUCCGCGCGCCGCAGCCUCGCCCGCGCCCCGGCUUCGCACCGACUCCUCGGGCUUCGGAGGACCCGCCCGCCGCGCGCUCUCCGCUCCACCCUCCUCGUCCCUCGGCUUCAGCCUCAGUUCCUCCCCAACUCUCCGGCAAGCGUUUCCCACGCGCGCCCCGACUGCCCGCUGCGCCGCCGCCUCCCAAAGGACAGGCUCCCUCCCCGCCCUCCGCCGCGGCCGCCCGGCGCUUGGCUCCUGACCAGGAGGAGCCGGCCUCAUGGGGUCGGCUGGGGCCGCGCGAGACCCGCCAGCCCCCCGGGGUCCGCUGCCCGCCGCCUCCCCCGCGCCCUUUGUGUGCGCGCCGCUGUCCCCUCCGCGAGCCCUUUGGCGGCGCCGCCUUGGGCGCAAGAGCGAGUGAAAGGAGGCGCGCGGGACAAUCGGGGGACUGGAAGGGGGCAAAAGGCACUCACUCUGGGAAGGUUCAGGCAUGUUGCUGCCUUUGGACUUCCUCGUGGUCUCGCCCCUUCCCCGGCUUCCCCGCCCCGCCAGGGCCGGGGCGAGGGGGGACGGGGGAGGAGCGGAGCCGCUGGGACCGAGUUGGAAAUGGUGCUUCCGGAGCUGCAGGGAAGGGGCUCAAAAACUGUUUUGGUUUCGCUAAGGAUAUUUAGGGGAACCAGGAGGCUAGAGAAGGGCUGGAGGAAGGCCCGGGAGCACGGCUGUAUGAAAAUAAUCUUGCUCCCAGGGAAUACCAGGGCGGUCACGGUUGGGGGGUGGGGCGGGGGCGGAACGUACAUUUUUGUAUUUGAACUUUGUGAGCAAGUUGGAUCGAAUCCGACGCUUGGGGUUUUUUUACUGUACUCGCCUUAAAGUCGAGGUCUCUACACCGUAACAGGACCAAGGACCUACUUCAAAAGGGAAGGGCCUGGGAACGGAGGCUGUUUAAUGGUGAACGAAGGGGAAAAUUCAAAAGAGGGGAGAGAUCAGCCCCAGGUCACGCUCCGCGCCCCGGUCGCGUCUUCCCUGGGUCCUCU